AGUGAACGCUGGCGGUAGGCCUAACACAUGCAAGUCGAACGGCAGCACAGUAAGAGCUUGCUCUUACGGGUGGCGAGUGGCGGACGGGUGAGGAAUACAUCGGAAUCUACUUUUUCGUGGGGGAUAACGUAGGGAAACUUACGCUAAUACCGCAUACGACCUACGGGUGAAAGCAGGGGAUCUUCGGACCUUGCGCGAUUGAAUGAGCCGAUGUCGGAUUAGCUAGUUGGCGGGGUAAAGGCCCACCAAGGCGACGAUCCGUAGCUGGUCUGAGAGGAUGAUCAGCCACACUGGAACUGAGACACGGUCCAGACUCCUACGGGAGGCAGCAGUGGGGAAUAUUGGACAAUGGGCGCAAGCCUGACCCAGCCAUACCGCGUGGGUGAAGAAGGCCUUCGGGUUGUAAAGCCCUUUUGUUGGGAAAAAAAAGCAGCAGGUUAAUACCCCGCUGUUCUGACGGUACCCAAAGAAGAAGCACCGGCUAACUUCGG
rnacentral:rRNA from 1 species